rnacentral:rRNA from 1 species
UACGAACUGUGCAAACGUUAUUCGGAAUCACUGGGCUUAAAGGGUGCGUAGGCGGCUGUCUAAGUAGGGUGUGAGAGCCCCCGGCUCAACCGGGGAAUUGCGCCCUAAACUGGAUGGCUGGAGUGAGGCAGGGGUGUGUGGAACUUCCGGUGGAGCGGUGAAAUGUGUUGAUAUCGGAAGGAACGCCGGUGGCGAAAGCGACACACUGGGUCUCAACUGACGCUGAGGCACGAAAGCCAGGGGAGCAAACGGG